rnacentral:rRNA from 1 species
GACGAACGCUGGCGGCGGGCUUAACACAUGCAAGUCGAACGGAAAGGCCCGGCUGUGGUAGAGUGCUCGGUUAGCGAACGGGUGAGUAACUCGUGAGUGACCUGCCCUUGACUAUGUGGUAACUUCAGGGAACUGGGGCUACUACCGGAUGGUAUCUCCUGCUGCAUUGUGGGGGUGGGAGAGUUUCGGCGGGUGGGGAUGGACUCGCGGCUUAUCAGCUUGUUGUUGGGGUAGUGGCUUACCAAGGCGUUGCCGGGUAGCAGGCCUGCGAGGGUGACCGGACAAAUCGGGUCUGAGAUAAGGCACAGACUCCUAUGGGAGGCAGCGGUGCGGAAUAUAGUACAAUGGGCGGAAGCCUGAUGUAGCAACGCCGCGCGCGGGAAGACGGCAAGCGGGUUGGAAACCGAUUUCGUCUGUGAGGAGGAGUGAGUGACGGUAAUGGGUAAAGAAGCACCGGCUAACUACGUG